CACAACAUUUAAUGCUUUACUUGUAAAUAGUUAGCAAAUUGAGGUAAAACAAAAAGUAUUCCUCGUACCACAGUCUCUAAAAUGCGACAAAAGAAAUAAAAGUCAGAGCAAAUUAAAAGACAGUUCAAUACCCAAAACAGCCUGUAGAGAGCACCACAUGUAGCACAACUGCCUCGUUUUCCUCCUGGCUGGGACCGGAGUGCAACAGAGCAGCUGGUCUAUCAACGCGGGUCUGUGUCAAUGCAUAUCCUAAAGGCUAAGCUAACAUCAGGGGGCAAAAAAUAAACCGAGACGGGACAAUCGGGGAUUGAGUCUGCGUCGUCUGAGUGCACUGUCUUGUUUGAUGUCUGCUCGUGUCACACAUAUUCCACUGAGGCUUCGCACCAGAGCAGGUUUUGGGGCAAAGCAAGGAGAGCAAGAUGCAAGAGGCUUGAGAACAGGGACACAUUUUGUGAACACAGAUGAAGAUGUGUCCCGGAUGUAUGUACAUUUUGCUCAAUGUGAAUUUAAAUGUAAUUUAAUAUUGAACCUGACUUGACUGACAUUCAUCCACCUCUGUGUUUUUUCUUUUAUGAGAACGUGCCAGAAAGUGCCAGCAGCCCUCUGCUACUCAGUGAGCGCCAGUGAAUGGACACAAAGCUUCUCUUGGGGUGUUGCACUCGUAAACCCGUCAGUCCUGCCUCUAAGAUCAGCGAACAUGCCUCCUGUUUCAGAAAAUCUUACCUUCCAGCAGGUCUCUUGCCAGACCCGGUUCUGCCCCCGUGGACCGAACAAAGUCUGACAGGACCGCGUCCAUGUCCAGAGUCAUGUGAUCAUGUGUGUGUGCUGCCCACGGUGCAGCGGUGGCCUUGGUGGACGCCAGCCUUCACGUUCUCAUCUGGGAGCAAACAAAGCAGAGAAGGAAACAUUAGAAAAAACGAGGACACUGUUUUACAGUAAACUGUUUAGCCACACCUUAAAGAUCUCAUCCCUGGCAAGUCCCUGUGAGAAAAUACGAGCGAGAUUGCCUUGUCUCUUAUUUCAGUCUUGGCUUGGGCCUGUUUGUACCGAGGCGUAAUGCUUCAUAGAGUGCUCCUGCCAGGAGUCAUAACAUAAUACCCAGCAUCAGAGAUAUCAGCAACAGCCAGUGUUUAUUUUUCCAGGACACACCUGCCCACUUCCAAAGGCUUCCCUCCUCUGUCCGUAAUCACAACACAGGGUUUGUACCAUAUAUCAAUUUCAAAAUCCCAGUAUUUUCAGACAAUAGUUUCUAGAGUUUUUCUUUGUUUUUCUCCUGACAUUAUAAACAUUAGUGGGCCCAACAUUUAACUUGAGGGGUUUUAUAAUGAAAGAAAUCAUUGAAAUAUGAUAUAUCUGACAACACACGCAGGUAAAAGAUCAGCAAAGGUGGCACACCAUUCCUGAAUAUAAAGAAAUUCAAGAACAGAUGAGAAACCAAGUUAUUGUAAUCAUUGAAUAAUGUUGAAAGCCACUAUCCACAGAAAACACAGAACAGUGCUGGACCAUCCCAGGAGCUCCCAAAAUUACUCCAAAAGCACAUCGAAGACAGUCAAGAUCCCACAAAAGUACACUAGCCCCAGUUAGGGUCAGUGGUCAUGAUUCAACAAUAGGAAACAGACUGGACAAAAAUGGCUAAUAGAUUUUGGACUGAUAAGACAAAACUUUAACUUUAUGAAAUAUUUUCUAAAAUAGCAUUUAAAAAAAAAAGAACAGCCCAAUCUUAACGAAAGAUGGUAAUAAUGUAAGGGUCUGGAGCUGCUUUCCAGUUCAUGACCUCUUCUACUAGUUGAAAAUAAAAUCUUUUCUCUGAAAUCUUUAUGGAGAAUGUCAGUCAAUCAGUUUGUGACCUUAGGCUCAAGCACACGCUUGUUGUGCAGCAGGACAAUGAUACUAAGCACACAAAACAGUGAACUACUGACUGGAUAAAGAAAAAAAUUGAAGGCUUUGAAGCGGCCAACUCAAAGUCCGGACUCAAAUCUGGUUCAGUUGUUGUGGUAUACCUGUAAAACUGGCAGUUCGUGCCAACCAGCCAAUGUGGCUGAAUUAAUUCAACUCUGUAAUAAAAGUGGGACAAAGCAGGACUUUGCCACAAAGAGGCGUAUCGGUUAUCAAGUUAUCAAUCACUUACUUUUUCAUAAAUUUUUUAUGGAUCACUGUUAGACAAAAAUUUAAAUUAUUAUGUAGGAAACCAAGAUCUACGGAAGUAUUGAUUUUAUCUCGUAGAUACAGAUCAGAAGUUUUUUCCAAACUCAUUUUAUAAUUUUGCAUGGAACAAGGAAAAUAAUCCAAUCAAAUUCCAUAUUUUUUCACAUUUUUCAAGAUUGUGUAGGAACUUUAAAGAUAUUUAGCCUAGAACAAAGUAUUAACCAGAAAGCCUUAGGUGUUAGUUAGUAACAAAACUUUAUUUUGUUUCUGACAAACAAAAUAAAGUUUUGUUUAUCGAGUAACUGAAACGCCUGGCGCCCGAUUCAGUUACUGUAUGAUUAAGCGCGAUGCUAUUUAGUUGCUAGCUGGAGAGCAUAUUUGAAACUAAAUAGCACUGUGAAUCUAAUGAUCAACAAGCGAGACACUAUUGGGUCAUAAAUAACAGUUAACAUGCAGAUGCAUUCACUCCCGUUGUUUGGGGAAUAAUUGAGUUCAUGCAUAACUUUCAUUCCAGCAGAGGCUGGGUGGGUGACAAAGGAACUGAUCUCAGAGCACCAGCAGAAAAAAAAACAAACGCCCACAGGCUGGAGACUGUGACACCAGGCCUUUGUGUGCAGACCGGCAGCCUGAAGGCUGAGGGGUUAUUAGUGCACAACCAUGUCAGCAGGACGGUGAACAACAGAAAAAAAACUGGACAAUUAUGAGUUUAGAUCUGGAAGAAAAUAUAUGAUGUGAAGAAAAUGUAUGUUGAUCCAUUUGACCAUAAUUAAACAGAUCAUAAUAAGAUAGAUCUGAGUAACACUAAUACAAUACUUCUCUUUUCUUUUUAUUGUAAAGAAAAAACAAAAUGCAUGAUGUUCCUUUCACUUCUCUAGUAUUUGUGCUGUCCCACCAUAAUAAUCUUGUUGGAAGGCAAUGUUUAUUAACAAACUGUUAUUCAUAUAACAUGUCUGAGAUUUGAAUGUAAUCAGUUUAAUGUCAAAGGUCUUUGCUGCAAAACAAUUUAGUUAUGGAAACAGAUGUUUAAAAUGUUGAUUUUGUCAGUUUCCUUAAAGAGAAAACCAUGUUAACAGGAA